GAUGAACGCUGGCGGCGUGCCUAAUACAUGCGAGUCGAGCGAACGGACGAGGAGCUUGCUCCUCUGAUGUUAGCGGCGGACGGGUGAGUAACACGUGGAUAACCUACCUAUAAGACUGGGAUAACUUCGGGAAACCGGAGCUAAUACCGGAUAAUAUAUUGAACCGCAUGGUUCAAUAGUGAAAGACGGUCUUGCUGUCACUUAUAGAUGGAUCCGCGCCGCAUUAGCUAGUUGGUAAGGUAACGGCUUACCAAGGCGACGAUGCGUAGCCGACCUGAGAGGGUGAUCGGCCACACUGGAACUGAGACACGGUCCAGACUCCUACGGGAGGCAGCAGUAGGGAAUCUUCCGCAAUGGGCGAAAGCCUGACGGAGCAACGCCGCGUGAGUGAUGAAGGUCUUCGGAUCGUAAAACUCUGUUAUUAGGGAAGAACAAAUGUGUAAGUAACUAUGCACGUCUUGACGGUACCUAAUCAGAAAGCCACGGCUAACUACGUG
rnacentral:rRNA from 1 species